AGCUAGCUGACGAGUCCAAAAUAGGAUGAAAUACGUGUUUUCCCGGAU
rnacentral:hammerhead_ribozyme from 1 species